rnacentral:rRNA from 1 species
GACGAAGGUUCCUAGCGUUGUUCGGAAUUACUGGGCGUAAAGGGCGCGUCGGCGGUUUGCUAAGUUGGAUGUGAAAACUCUGGGCUUAACCCAGAGCCUGCAUCCAAAACUGGCAAACUUGAGUACUGGAGGGGAAAGCGGAAUUCCUGGUGUAGCGGUGAAAUGCGUAGAUAUCAGGAGGAACACCGGUGGCGAAGGCGGCUUUCUGGACAGUAACUGACGCUGAGGCGCGAAAGCUAGGGGAGCAAACAGG